GCUGGGCAUAGUGGCCUGUGCCUGUAAUCCCAGCUACUCAGGAGGCUGAGGCAGGAGAAUUGCUUGAGCCUGGGAGGUGGAGGUUGCAGUGAGCUGAAAUCACACCACUGCACUCCAGCCCAGGUGACAAAGCGAGACUCUGUUUCAA
rnacentral:SRP_RNA from 2 species